UUUUUUUUUUUUUUUUUUUUUUUCCAGUUAUAAGGCUGUUGUUUUAGCAGCGAAUCAUUUUGGGAGGUUUUUCACUGGGCAGAUCACAGCUGCUGGAAAAGUUCCCCCUGCGAAGGUAUGUAUAACUUCCAGUGUUUUUCAUACACACACACACUCACACACACACACACACACACACACACACACACACACACACACACCACACACACGUUUGUUUGUUUGUUUGUUUAUUUAUUUAUUUAUUCAUUAUGUAUACAAGUGUUCUGUACUGGAUGUAUGCAUACCUGCCAGAAGAGGGCACCAAAUCCCACUAUAGAUGAUUAUGAUCCACCACUUGGUUGGUUGCUAGGAAUUGAACUCAGGACCUCUGGAAGAGCAGUCAGCGCUGUUAACCUCUGAGCCAUCUCUCCAGCCCCACUUUCAGUGUUUCUUAAUGAGACAAGUUGAAGGUGACAUAAAAUAUGGUUACUUUCAAAUGUCUUGCUGUGUGUUAGCCUCGCUGAUGUUACUGUUGUACUUAGAAAUUUAAAGUGAAACUUUAGAGCUGAACAUUGAAUAUUGCUUGAAAAAAAAAAAAAGAAAUUCUGGCAUUUUUGUUUGUUUGUUUUAAAAGUUUAGUCUUUUUUCUUUUGCCUUUUCAGUUUCUGACUUAUUUGAAUUCUUAAGUGGAUUUUGUCUAGAUUGACCUGUGGGUCAAUUUACUAUUACUUUUUGAAGAACUUCAAGAUAUUAUUCAGUAAGUCUGUGUUUCCUGAUUACUGCAGACCCAUAGUUUGUAGAAAACACUUCUUUGAUUUCUUCCCUCUUGUCAGCUGAGGAGGGGAGGGACAUCAAGAGAACAGGAAAUAAUGGGAGGUGGUACAAUCAAGGCACAGCGGAAGGGAGCUGCCUCCUGAAUCCCGAUUGGGAAUAGAGAGAGAAAGAGAGGGGUUAGUGAGAAGCCGUGAGUGGGAGGUUACAACAUCGGAGGUUACGUCAUGGCCCUUUAAUGGGGAGCCCACUGAAUACAAGCCCGAGUCGAGGCAUAGGACAUAUAUAAGGAGUCAUCCAUCUGCCUGCUUUCUGUUCUUAAAUACUUUUUUUUUUUUUUAACAAACUCAGAAUGGUUCGACCAAGAAAUCUACGAGAGAAACAAAAACCAGAACCCAAAACAAAAACCAAGCAGCCUUGAGUGAAACAGACCACAGAAAGAAAAACAAGCCCUUUAAACAAAGGCCAGGAUGUCUAGCAAGAACAUUUAUGUGAAUGCCAUAGAUAUACGGUACACAAGACAGUAAACUUCCUGUAUUUGAAAUAUAAAAUUCUAUCUUAUUGUGUAGGACCACAAGGAAACAUCUGGUGUUCAAACUGACCAGAAACUUAAACUGGUUGAAUGUAAUGAUAAACAAUUUAGUCUUGGUUAGGAUCUUUUUAGGAAGGUGUGGCAGUGGAGAGGAAACUUGUAAUAUUAGACUAAAGAGUGAAAAAAAAAAAGCCCAAAAACCCAAGAGGCUUAACGGGAGAGUCAGUGAGUUGUUAAAAGGCGGGAAGGGGACUGUGUCUGCUAGUGUUUAAAUUCAGUGGCAGAGGGAUAAAGGCUUCUUCGGUCUUCAAAUCUAAUGAGCAAUGUUCAAUCCCUGGUAGAAAGAAAAAAACAAAACCCAACUCCCAUGAGUUAUCCCUGACCUCUAUGUGUGUACCGUGACAUGUUUUUCCCUCCCCUUCCUCUUGCACACAAAGAAAUAAAAAGUCGUUAAGAAAUAAAUUCAGCUUAAGUAAUUGGCUUGAUGUAGCAAAUCAUUUUUACAAAAAUAGGAGAAUUAAAUAUAGUUGGGGCUUAUCAUGUGUAAUAUUUUAAAUUUAUUUUUAAACAUUUGAUGGUGAGAAUUUACAAACGUCCCUGUUCCUGUGGGUGACAUUUGUUCCUAUAGGAACAACGGGGUUGCCUUCAAUCUAAGCCAUUUAUGGGAUGCAUAGUGAGGCUUGUUUUCCCAGGAAGGCCGGCUCAAGGCUAGAAGCAACAGUGUUUUCAGUGUUUCUCUGCAGGCUGGGAGGCUGAAGUUUCUGCGGGAUUCUUGGGUUCUCUUGGCUCGGAUCCUUCUGUGGUUAAGAUUUACUUAUAUUGCGUCAAAUUUCAGACAUGGAUCAUUCAAGAUGGUCCUCAGUUGUAUUUCCUUACCAGAUGUCUAGAAGCAUUUGAGCACAAAAUAGCAGUUAUCAUGUUCUGUCAGAGUUGUGCCCAUCUUGGACACAGUUUUCUGAACCCAGGAAAGCCUUGGUGCUGGAGAGGGAGAGGGAGUUGGAAUAACAUCCUGGUGUUUUGGUGGUAGUUUCUGUACACUGAGAAGGAACUGGUUAAUCUUUGACAUGCGUGGCACUGGCGGUGCUUGCUUACAUGGCCUCUGAGAUGCUGCUGACUGCCAGGGCAUUAUUUUUAGGGGAAGUUGUCCCCCGCUGACAGAGGCUGUUUCUUUGAUCAAUUUAAAAAUCACUGGGGAUUCAGCGGAAGGAUAGACCCUUUGCUGUGUUCCCAUGGUUGAUCUGCACCACCGGUUGAGUGUUAAUAUGUACCAGGCACUAGGAGUUACCACCUGGGAAUCUUUUGCCAUCACCUGGUCACAAGCUUUGAACCAUUUUUUGUUCUCCCCCCUCCACCCCCUAGAUCCUGAUAGUUGGUGGUGGCGUUGCUGGGCUCGCUUCUGCGGGGGCAGCAAAGUCGAUGGGCGCAGUUGUCCGAGGAUUUGAUACAAGGUGAGCAUUUAAGUAGUGAUUCAUAUUGAGCUAAAAACAUUUGUUUCAAAUGGGGCCUAUUACAUUAGAGAUUAUAAUGGUUCACUGAAGCUUUGCUUUCUGCUCUUUCCAAUUAAAAAUGAUUUUUUUUUUGCUGUUUAAAAGUUGGCUCAAUAAAAAAAUUUAUUACUU
rnacentral:lncRNA from 1 species